UGGUUCAAAUGAAUUCUUUUUAAUGGCUGAGUAAUAUUCCAUGGUGUAUAUGUACCACAGCUUCCUUAUCCAUUCAUCUGCUGAUGGGCAUCUAGGUUGCUUCCAUGACCUGGCUAUUAUAAACAGUAAGAAGAUUUUCAUGACCCAGAUAACUAUGAUGGUGUGAUCCCUCAUCUAUAACAAGACAUCCUGAAGUGUGAAGUCAAGUGGGCCUUGGGAAGCAUCACUACGAACAAAGCUAGUGGAGGUGAUGGAAUUCCAGUUGAGGUAUUUCAAAUCCUAAAAGAUGGUGCUGUGAAAGUGCUGCACUCAAUAUGCCAGCAAAUUUGGAAAAGUGAGCAGUGGCCACAGGACUGGAAAAGGUCAGUUUCAUUCCAAUCCCAAAGAAAGGCAAUGCCAAAGAAUGCUCAAACUACUGCACAAUUGCACUUAUCUCACACGCUAGCAAAGUAAUGCUCAAAAUUCUCCAAGCCAGGCUUCAACAGUAUGUGAACUGUGAACGUCAGAUGUUCAAGCUGGAUUUAGAAAAGGCAGAGGAACCAGAGAUCAAAUUGCAAACAUCUUUUGGAUCAUAGAAAAAGUGAGAGAGUUCCAGAAAAAUAGCUACUUCUGCUUUCUUGACUGUGCCAAAGCCCUUGACUGUGUGGAUCACAGCAAACUGUGGAAGAUUCUUCAAGAGAUGAGAAUACUAGACCACCUGAUUUGCCUCCUGAGAAAUCUGUAUGCAGGUCAAGAAGCAACAUUUAGAACUGGACAUGGAACAAUAGACUGGUUCCAAAUAGGGAAAGGAGUAUGUCAAGGCUGAAUAUUGUCACCCUGCUUAUUUAACUUAUAUGCAGAGCACAUCAUGCGAAAUGCUGGGCUGGAUGAAGCACAAGCUGGAAUCAAGAUGGCCAGGAGAAAUAUCAAUAACCUCAGAUGUGCAUAUGACACCACCCUUAUGGCAGAAAGUGAAGAAGAACUAAAGAGCCUCCUGAUGAAAGUGAAAGAGGACAGUGAAAAAGUUGGCUUAAAACUCAACAUUCAGAAAACUAAGAUUGUGGCAUCCAGUCCCAUCACUUCAUGGCAAUUAGAUGGGGAAACAAUGAAAACAGUGACAGACUUUAUUUUCUUGGGCUCCAAAAUCACUGCAGAUGAUGACUGCAGCCGUGAAAUUAAAAGACACUUGCUCCUUGGAAGAAAGCUGUGACCAACCUAGACAGCAUAUUAAAAAGCAGAGACAUUACUUUGCCAACAGAGGUCCAUCUACUUAAAGUUUUGGUUUUUCCAGUAGUCAUGUAUGGAUGUGAGAGCUGGACUAUAAAGAAAGCUGAGUGCCGAAGAAUUGAUACUUUUGAACUGCGGUGUUGGGGAAUACUCUUGAGAGUCCCUUGGACUGCAAGGAGAUCCAACCAGUCAAUCCUAAAGGAAAUCAGUCCUGAAUAUUUGUUGGAAGGACUGAUGCUGAAGCUGAAGCUCCAAUACUUUGGCCACCUGAUGUGAAGGACUGAUUCCUUGGAAAAGACCCUGAUGCUGGGACGUAUUGAAGGCAGGAGGAAGAGGGAACGACAGAGGAUGAGAUGGUUGGAUGGCAUCGCUGACUCAAUGGACAUGAGCCUGAGUAAGCUGCAGGAGUUGGUGAUGGAUAGGGAAGCCUGGCGUACUGCAGUCGAUGGGGUCACAGAGUCCGACACGACUGAGCAACUGAACUGACUGAAGUAGCGUUUGGUCAGUGUGUCAUGUGUUUCUCCUUCAUUCCUCAAGUCACUUGUUGAAUGCUACCAGCUUAUAGGUGCUACAAAGACAGUUGGCUUAAACUCAACUAAUGCUACAGAAUUAACAAGAGGAAAAUAGAAACAAUUUUCGCCAAUCAAUUUGAAAUUUUAUGACCUGUAUUCCUUAAAAUCAUUACUUACUGAAAUUGAGUGAAGUCGCUCAGUUGUGUCCAGCUCUUUCUGACCCCAUGCUCUGUAGCCUACCAGGCUUCUCCGUCCUGGGAUUUUCCAGGCAACAGUACUGAAGUGGGUUGCCAUUCCCUUUUCCAGGGGAUCUUCCUGACCCAGGGAUCGAACUUGGGUCUCCUACAUUGUAGGCAGAUGCUUUACCCUCUGAGCCACCAGGGAAGCCCUACUGAAAUUGACCCAAAAAGAUAUAGAAUAUAUGAAUUAGUCCUACAAAUAUUUUAAAAAAUCUAAUUCCAAGUGUCUUUCCCAGAAAGAACAGUUCGGCUUCACUAGUGAAUUACACCAAACAUGUAAGAAAGAAUAAUUCUAAUUCCAUGAAAACUAUUACAGAGAGUAAAGAGGAAAAACUUCCCAAUUUGUUUUAUGAGAUCAUAUAACCUUCAUAGCAUAAACUUGAUGUCAAAAAUCAUAGGCAAGUAUUACUCAUGAACAUACAUGUGAGUAUUCUAAAGAAAAUAUUAGCGAGCUCAAUCCAGCAAUAUAUAAAAAGUGCAAUUCAUCAAAAUCAAGUUGCAUAUUUUGUAGGAAUGCAAGAGUAGUUUAACAUCGGAAAAAACAGGCAGUGUAAUUCACUGUAUUAAGAGUAAGAAAGCUAUAAAUCUUUUGGACAUUUCAAUAGGUGAAAUAUUUAAUUAAAUUCAACAUCUAUUCGUGAGAAAAAAACUUAUAAACUAGAAACAGAAAAGAAUUUCCUUAUUUCCAUAAGGGUUAGUUAAAAAAAAAUACAUACCAUAUAGUGAAAUGUUGAAAGCUUUCUCUUUGAGACUCCAGAUAAGACUAGAGUGCCCGGUAUCACCAAUUCUGUGAAGCAUUUUACAGAAAUCCUAGCAAGUGCAAUAAGAACAGAAAAGAUAAAAUGAAUGUAACAUAAGAAGUAAAACUAUUGUUAUUUACAACUAUUGUUGUAUGAAGUAAAAAUUAAUUUGCAAUUAAAUUACCAGAAAUAAUAAAUGAGUUUAGCAUAGUUUGUGACUACAAAGUCAAGGUACAAAAUCAAUUACAGCAGUAAAAAUUAGAAAAUAAAAAUUUUAAACACAUAUCAUUACAGUAGCAACAAAAGCAUCAAAUACCUGUGAAUAAAUCUUACAAAAUACAUGUAAGAACUCUGCUCAGAUGAUAAUACAAUAUUGAGAGAAAUUAAUGAGGACCUAUAUGAGUAGAGAAAUAGCCAAUGUUUAUUCACUGAAAAACCCUGUAAUACAUUAACUCCAUGAUUUACAAUCCUGAUCAAAAUCACAGUAGUAUUUUUUAAUAAAAAACUUAUGAGCUGCUCCUGAAAUAUAUAUGGAAAUAAAAAGGGCUACUAUGAAAGAAUAAGGCCAAAGAAGUUGCAUUCUAGAUGUCAAUACUUAUUAUAAUGCUGUAAUAAUUAAGACAGUGUGAUAUAGGUAUAAAGGUAGACAAAUAGAUCAAGAGUCCUCAAAUAGAUCCACACAUACUUGGACAUGUGAUCUUACAAGUCCACACUAAAAAAGCAGUGGGGAGAGGAUAGGUCAAUCAGUGUUGUUGUCUCUUGGAUAACUGUAUGGGAAAAAGAAAAGAAACUUUAUUAUUAUGUUGCAACAUACAUAAAAAUCAAUUUUCAGUUGAUGGUAGCUUUAAAUGUGAAAUUUCUAUAAGAUAAAAAAAAAUCUUCAUGAUGUGAAGGUAGAGAAAAGUACUUAUUAAAUGAAAUACACUCAUCAGCAACAAAGGAAAUAUUGAUAAAUUGGACUACAUUAAAUUAAGAACUUUUAUCAAAUGAUAUCACUGUAAGAGUGAAAAAGUAAGCCACAGAGUAGGAGAAGGUACAUGUGACAUAUUUUACAAAGGACUUGUGUUCAGAAUAUGUGAAAAACUUUUUCCAAAUCAGUAAGUAAUAUAUAUAAUUCAGGAUAUCUUCUCUAGGAAAGAAGAUAUCCAAAUAGCUGAUACACCUAUCAAAGGUGCGCGACCUCAUCAGUAAUCAAAGAAAUACGCACUGGAACAGACACCUACCCAGUGACCAACAGCUCUCCUCCUAGGCAUGUACACAACAGAAGUGCAAGCACAAGUGUACAAAGACAUUUUUGAGAAUGUUUAUUGCAGCAUUAUUUGAAACAGCCCCAAGUUGGAAGCAACCCAAAAGCCCAUUCAUAAUAGAAAUUAUAGUAUACUCAUUCAGUGAAAUCGUCUUCAGCAAUUCUGAUGGAAAAAACCAUGGCAACAUACAACAUGAACAAAUCUCACAAACAUUAUUUUGAGCACAGAAAUCCAAUGCAAAAGAAUGUAUAUACUGCAUGAUUUCAUUUAUAUAAGGUCAAAAACACAACUAUAGCUUUGGAAGUCUGUGUAGUAGUUAAAUGGGGAGAAAGCAGUUUUGGAAAACAGGCCUGUGCUUGGCUUUGGGAGGUGCUAAAAUUGUCCUAUUGAUUAUGGUGAUAGAUUGUAUCAAGUUGUAUGCUUAUGAUUUGUACAUUUUUUUUAGUGAGGUAUAUUUCACUUCCCUGGUUUCUCAGAGGUUAAAGCAUCUGCCCACAAUGUGGGAGACCCAGGUUCGAUCCCUGGGUCAGGAAGAUCCCCUGGAGAAGGAUAUGGCAACCCACUCCAGUAUUCUUGCCUGGAGAAUCCCAUGGACAGAGGAGCCUGGUGGGCUACAGUCCAUGGGGUCACAAAGAGUCAGACUCGACUGAGCGACUUCACUUUCAUAUUUCAACUUAAAAAAAAAAAAACUCACCUGUGCCCUAAUCAGACCAAUCUUAUGGAAUUGUUUGUUUAUACUAUCAGUUAUAAUAAAAUAAUAGUUACUGUGACAAUUUAUGCGUAACACUGAUGAAACAAAAGUGAGAAAUUAUCUAUGACUACUAAUCGUUAAUAAAAGAAUAAAGAUGAACUUGUGGAAGAAAAGCUACACAUAGAAUGUAACCUUAAGAUUUUGUGGAAAGAGGUUCAACAAAGAUCCAACACUUUAGAAAAAGGCUGUCCGUCUAACUCAAGACUUUGGGCCCGGCUGGUGUUCAGGCACACUCUGUGCUGGCCUCUGAGUCUCCGGCUGGUUCGCACCCAACCUACACCUCCUCUGGUCCCCACAAGUCUUUUCUCUUAGUCUUGGACCAAAUGAAGGCAGAAUUCUCUGAGCACUGACUGGCUCAUAGAACUGAAAUGUCUCCAACAACACAGAGCUGCAAAUUGCUGUGAUUCAUCCUGAAAGCAGGCAGCCCUCGGAGAGCUUUGUGGUAAGAGAAAGACACGGGCCAGAACCCUUCUAUGUGGCCACAGCCUCCCUCAUCUACACGUGGGAUGAGGAGACCUGGGUUUUAAAUUUUAAUCUGAGGGCGCAGAUUAGUACCUGGGCUGUUUUCCUCUGUGAGGUUUUUGCCUUUGCUGUUGCCACUGCUAUUAUUGUCGUAAGAGAAAGAGAAGGAGGGAGGGAGAAAUCUCAUAUUCCCUUGCCUGGAUUUCAAGACCCUUUUAAUCAUUCCCCCAGCUACCUUUUAAACAUAUCUCCCACUGAUCCCCUGGGUGGUGCCUUUAUUAAUCGAACAAAAGUAACCACUGCAAAAUACCGUGUGCUUCGUGCUUUUAAGAAUUUGUCCAUGCUUCACCCAUUCAUUUCUACUUGGAUGAACCAAUUCCACCUUCAAGGCUGAAUUCAAUGCAGCUUCUACCAGAAGGGUUUACUGACCAUUUGCAGCCCCCGUGAGCGCUCUUUCCUGCUAACUCCGGUGACUAUUUACUGACCAUUUUCCACACCCUAAAUCAAAAUGCAUAGUCUUCAGGGGAUUUAUCUACCAUCUAUGAGUAUGAACAGCCAUCUGUGAGCUGUUUGAAGCUGGGAAUAAUAGAAUUUCACAUCAAUAAUUUUUUCCUGCUGUUAAAAUACAUAGCAUGUGCCAAGCACUAUAUUAAGUACUUCAUCUACAUUAUUUCACUGAUUCCUCAUGAUAAUUCUGAUAGGUAGAUAUUAUUAAAUACCUGAUCAAGGUUAUUCUGAAGACAACAAACUGCAGAGCCAGAACUCACAACCAACUCAUGACUCUUCACGUCACGCUCCCUUCUCUGUCACAGAGCUGCUCACGGACAAGAGGUGUAGGUGAGCUAAGGCAGAUGGUACAGAGAGAAGUGAGAAAUGAGGCUGGGCCUGACCACGGGGUUUCACCCAUGUCAAAUCAGCGCAUGCUCAUCUGGAACGCUGUCCAGCAGGCAGUGGAAAUACACUGUGUUUGAGAAAGAAGACUUCAAUGAACCUUCUGGAAAUACAGAUCAGUAGGUCCUACACCACCUUCAGAGUUAGCACAGCGACUGCAGGCAUAGACUCUAGAGCCAGACUGCAUGGAUUUGAAUCCUGGCUACCUCACUUAUCAGACAUACUGCUUUAGGACCCCAAACAGAAGAGUGCACACCUCUGAGAUGAAAAGCAUUUCUGGAGCCCCCAGACCCAGAGUGGUAGGAGGAGGAGUGUAUGGAGUGUUAGAAGCCGGACUGUUUUCCUCUCUCAGGCCCUGGGCCCCAGAUCUAGAACUGUGACCUCCCAGCUCAUGGUCAAGUUGUCCUUGAAGGUCUAGCAGGCUGGAAGAUCCUCUGGAAGCAGUGAUUCAGGAAACACGGCUUCAUCUAUCCUGUGGUUCUACAACCUUCAGUGCAUGGUACUCAGAGUGAACUUGGGGGUUCUCUCCCUUCCAGUCCAGAAGAGAGAGAGAGUGAAAUAGACCUGGAAGUGUCAUUCCUGACUUUCAUGCAUGACGUUCUGCCUGGAACUCAUGCAAUGCCAGCUAAUAUAAUAGAGGCCAGGGAGUGGAGUCCAGCUAUGUGGACAGGAAGAAGAGGUCCUCUAGUCCCUGCUACUUGUUACCUAUGGUGUUGGUACAAAUCCUAUCUAUUCUACCUCUAAAAAAUUUUCUCUCUUCUCUAUUUACAGUAUCACCCUUUAAAAUUUCUAUCCUUUCAUAAGCCUUUCAACUUCUUUUUUCUGUUUUUAUCUUCCCAAUUUCCUUUAAAUAGUUGCCAUGUCUAAUAUAACUUAGACAUAAUCAUAUUACUCUCCUUACCCCAAAGUAUCCCUAUCCUCUACACCAAUGCUCAUAGAAUAAAGCACAAACUCUUUAGCCUGGUACAAAAGUUCUGCUCACCAAGUGCACACAUACAAAUGAAUUCUGUUUCCUAUGCCCUGUUCUUUCCUUUUCCAUGUAGUGCAUGUGAUGGUCCUUCAGCCUUCUCUGUCUCUUAAAACCAUACUCACAUGUCCUACCCUCCAAGAAACUGUCCUCAAGUUGCCUGGUUGAAAUUCUUUCUUCCAGUGUUCUCAUGCAUGCUGCCUGCUCAGUUGCUUCAGUCAUAUCCAAUCUUUUGCGACCUUAUGUUCUGUCCAUGGGAUUCUCCAUGCAAGAAUACUGGAGUUGGUUGCUAUGCCUUCCUCUAGGGGUCUUCCCAACCCAGGGAUCCGAACUUGCAUCUCCUGUGUCUCCUGCAUUGCAGGUGGAUUCUUUAUCCACUGAGCCAUCUGGAAAGCCCAGUGUUCUCAUAGCCCUUUGUUAACCUCUGCAUUUGAUUCUUAUGUUGUCACUAUGUUAUGUUAACAGUAUUCUCACAUUUUGUGGUCAAGGACAUAUGUGUAUCAGCAAAGAGCAGAACCAAUUGGAAAUUUACAAAUAUUUACAUGUGUCCAUGUUAUACAGGAAAACAAAAGUAGCAUUCUUUGAGUCUUGUCAAUUUAAAACUUUAUCAAGUCAGUUUCUUCUUGUGGUCUUUAUGAGUCAGAAGGAAGCAUCACUCCCACUGUUUGUACAAGAGAAGGGAAACCUCUUCUCACUCUUUUCUAAGAAUACUUUGAUUAAUUGUAAAGAUUUCAUGGUUUAAUACACAAUUUAGUGACUGAACAGCAAUGACAUGUUUUAAGGCCAGUCUCUGUAAUUUCAUUAAUUAAUCUUAAAAUUUAAAAGCAGGCUUGUAAAAAAAAAAAAAAGCAGGCUUGUAAGUAUAGGAUGGAAAGGGAGAAAGAGAAGAAUAACUUGAUAGUGAAGAAAGCGGACAAACCCCUCCACCAGGUGAUCAAGGAUAAUAUCCGCAGUGGUGAGUCAUGCUGAUGGUGUGCCCUUGGUGUGGUAUGAUGAGAAUGAUACUGUGCCUCUGUGGUCCUCCUCCCAAAACAUUACCCAGUCUGAUUAGGAGAAAAACAUCAGACAAGCCCCACUUGAGAGACAUUGUACAAAAUAUCUCACCAGUAUCUUCAAAACUGUCAAGGUCAUCAGAAAUAGGGAAAAUCUGAGAAACUUUGUCACAACCAAGAGUAAACUAAGGAGACAUGAUAACUAAAUAUAAUGUGUUAAAUGGAAUAGGAUCCUGAGAUACAGGAAGGGCAUUAGGAAGGAAAAUGAGGCCAUCUUAAUUAAAAAAUGAACUUGAGUUAAUAAUCACAUAUCAAUAUCAGUUCUUUAUUGUGACCGAUGUACCAUGUUAAUGUAAGAUGGUGAUAAUAGAGGAAACUGGCUGUGGGACAUAUGGGAAGUGUUCACACUGUCUAUGAUGAUUAAUUUUAUGUGUCAACCUGGCUAGACCAUAGUACCCAGUUAUUUGGUCAAACACAACUCUAGAUGCUUCUAUAAAGAUUUUUUUUUAGGUGUAAUUAACAUUAAAUCAGUAGACUUUGAGUAAAGCAUAUUACUCUUCAUCAUGUGGGAAGGUCUUUCCAAUCAGUUGAAGUUGUUAAAAGACGGAAGUCCUCUUAAUUGAAACUGGGAUGAGUUCAUAGUCAUGUAUUAACAUUGGUUCAUUAAUUGUGACAAAUGUACCAUACAAAUAUGUUAAUAACAGGGGAAACUGGCUGUGGGCUGUAUGGGAACUCUCUUUACUAUCUUUGUGAUAGUUCUGUGAGCCUAAAACUGUUAUAAUAUUUUAAAAUCCUUAAAAAAAAUCAGACUUGCAGAAUUCAACUUAACUGGCAGAAGUAUGAUUUUGUGUUUAAAACAGUGAAACAAGGAACAUAUAUCAUUGUGUUCCACAAUAGCAUUCUGAGUCCUGCUAAAUUGACACAAUGGGGUAAAAACUUAUUUCUCUUUAUUAACUUGUAUAAAGAAAUGCUUUUGUUCAGCCAAUGAGUGUUUUACAGUUAAACACUCUACGUGGGAGAAAAUCAAAAGGGAAUGCAUUGUAAAACUAAACUCCUUUACUUAAAAGGGGCCUAAAAUGUGUUUCUUGUUUUUAAUGGGGAUAAUUAUUUUCAGUCUUUAAUAAUCAUUCCUUUUUCUAGGCAGCUCUUGCUGCCACUUUAAUAGAACACAGUGGCACAGAGAGAACUGGGAACAGGGGC